GACAAAUACCCACCAUUUGCUUCGACGUGGAUGGAACUGGAGGGUAUUAUGCUGAGUGAAAGGAGGAAACUGAGGCUCACAUGACUAGGAAGUGUCAAACCUAGGCUUGUCUGGUCCCAAAGCCUGUGUUCUUUCCAACCUCUUCGAUCUCUGGUUGCUUGUGAAGAUAAUCCCAUGUGUCUGACCGGCUUGCACAGGCUAGCCACCCCAUCCACCUCCCCCCUGCCUGAAGUGAGAGAGUUAUACACACAAUCCAUGCCCCUCUGUAAGUCAGGCCUUGCCAGGUUCAAGACAGCCACUAGAUCUCGCUCCUUAGUUUCUUUGUCAUCUCCUGGUCCUCAGCUAGAGACCCUAAAUAUGCAUCUUCUAUUUGUGACUCACUCUGUUUUUCUGUUUUGCUUAUUAUUAAUAAAAAUAGCCGACAAAACAAACAGUAAGACAACCCACAAAAUAUGAAUGAACAACACAUACCCACAGUCUCCUUUUUUUGUUCUGUUUUGUUUUCUUUUCUGUUUUAGACACUCAGGGUGGUUAACAAAAUCUACCAGAAUAUAUCUUACUUGUUUUUAGGAUCUGUCAGAAAAAUUGUUAUGCUGUUUUGGAUCUGAAGCCUUUUUAGUCCACACCCUUAUUUGGCAUGAGGAAUCUACUGCUAAUAGGUACAGAAAAAUAGGAAGAAUCAAAAAGUAGCAUGAGGGAGAUUAUAAGGUUGGGACAUGGUAGAUGACUUUAAGCAGAGUCUUUACAUGCAAUUCUACAUAUCCUGCCUCCCUGCUGCAAAGGUAAGUGGAAACAUGGCUCAUGGGUUCUUCAUGCUUCAUUUCAAGUUUGAGUAUCUUGAAACUUACCAAAUCUUCCAGUGUCUUCAUUCAUCAUCUGACCACUCUGCCAACUGCUACACAGACCAAUUCCUCCUCAGUGGCUCUUCUCUCCAGUCCAGAAGAUGCCCACAAGGCAGAACAAGAGGAGACAGGUCUCAGGUGAAGAACCUCCCGUGUUGGUAACAACUGUAAUAUCAUGUCAAGCUUCUGCUCCAAAUAUCCCUGUGAAUCUCAUAUAUAUUUAUUUUUUAUUUAAGAUGUUUUUAUUUGUAUGUUGACAUAUAUUCAUACAGAGGCACCUGGUGGCUCAGUCGGUUAA